AAGGGGGAUGCUGAAAACCCUUUAACCAGAGUAAGCA
rfam:Marine bacterium AO1-C Bin2_contig__12_len_520866_cov_97.2282_ID_23, whole genome shotgun sequence.